rnacentral:rRNA from 1 species
CCUACGGGAGGCAGCAGUGGGGAAUAUUGCACAAUGGGGGGAACCCUGAUGCAGCGACGCCGCGUGGGUGAGGAAGUACUUCGGUAUGUAAAGCCCUAUCAGCAGGGAAGAAAAUGACGGUACCUGACUAAGAAGCCCCGGCUAACUACGUGCCAGCAGCCGCGGUAAUACGUAGGGGGCAAGCGUUAUCCGGAUUUACUGGGUGUAAAGGGAGCGUAGACGGCGUGCCAAGUCUGGUGUGAAAGGCCGGGGCUCAACCCCGGGACUGCAUUGGAAACUGGCAUGCUGGAGUGCUGGAGGGGCAAGCGGAAUUCCUAGUGUAGCGGUGAAAUGCGUAGAUAUUAGGAGGAACACCGGUGGCGAAGGCGGCUUGCUGGACGGUAACUGACGUUGAGGCUCGAAAGCGUGGGGAGCAAACAGGAUUAGAUACCCCUGUAGUC